AUUAUUGAUCAUUGCAAGUGAAAUUUUGAGAGAUUGUUUCUAGUAUUUAGGUGAUGAAAACAUUUGGUAAUAUUGCUUUGGUUCAAAGAAUUUUAUGUCUUUAUCUUUCUAGAAGAAAGCAAUUAUAUAUAUAUUUUUGCUAAAUUACAUAAACAUUUAAUUACAUCAGGUUCUAAUUUAAACAUGUAUUACUCACUUGAGGCCACUUUUAAAUAUUCAUACUCUUUGACAUAAGAUGCUUUGUAUAUUUCUCAUUUCUUUUAGUUCUUAGUAAGUCAGCUUUAAAAAGUACCUGCCAACCAGAACCUUCCAUAUUCUGGACUAAAUCUUGCUCUUCGGAUUAUACUUCAGUGCAGUAACUGUGGAUUUGCAAUUUUGAAGGGGAGAUAGUAGCUAUUAUAUUUUACACUUGCUUGAUGUGAUAACUCUAAAGACUUUUUAACUGAUAAAAGCGCACAUGGCUAUUUUGAUACACAAAGUUGUGUUUGCUACUUUAGAAGCUUUUGUGGCAGAAUUGUAAUCUAAUUUUCAUACCUUGUAUUUCUGAAUCACAACAAAAAAAUAAAUGGGGAACAAGACUUA
rnacentral:lncRNA from 1 species